UCCCCUGGAGCGAAACGUGCCCGAAGCUUCGCAUGAUUCGCGCAAAGGAUAGAAAGCAAAGCAACCAUUUCGAUUCAGGAUGGAACUCCGGUACCGGGACCCACUCUGAGGCCUGGUAGGCAGGUAAGUCGGCACGGAUGGCUGGCUGGCUUGCUUGGAGGAGUUGCAGGAGAGUGCCAUGGUAGAGGGGCUUCCCUGGCUGUGGCUGCCGCUUGCGGGCACGAACCGCGCUACCGCCGUCAGCAGGCAGUCUUAUUACGCCCGCACUCAACUACGCGAACUAAGUACUCUUCUUAGGCCGGGCAAACAUUUGAAUAACAAUCGCGAGUUAGCUUAUCACGCGAAUCAAACGUACGUACUUUGAACGGUGUUCAUUGUACUGCACGUAUCAUUUAAGUCUUGUAGUACGAGGCAGGGGUACACAGAUUUUCCGCAUGGACACGCACGUUCGAUCGUGCCGACAAGGACUCGCGUUUCAAACCGACGGAACCAAUCUUGAAAUAAGUUAGUCAAACGAGCUGAGAGGCGGUGAAGAUCCCUUGAGUUCGAUUGGUCAGCCAAGACCUGCUGCUCGGUCAGAGCUUCUUGUCGGAGGUUGGAAUCGGUCGACGAUACUAUCUCGAUCAUUGACGCGUUCAGAGAUACCGGUCAGUGUGAAGUCUGCUUAAUAGCGAGGAACAUGUGCAACCAGGGAAUAGUGGCGAGGCUGAUGUUGCCGGGGAACGACGAGCUAUACUGUGACCACUCUGUUCUCCACGAAUCCUGACUGAUUCCACCUUCGUAUCACCAGCUGACUAUCGACCGGGCCGAAGUUGAAUCGCGACGCGGUGAAUAUAAUAUUUGUUCGAAAGUUUGUACGGGUGAAAAUCGUGAUACGACGGACCUUAAUACAAAGUGUUGGUUCGAGUUAACGCGUACGGUGUACAGAAACGAGUCUUUGGCAAAAGAGAGCCGGUAUGUACGCGAAAUUACACGUUUUCACGUACAUUCGGUACGCUAUGAACAUCAACCUUCUCGGAUCUAACGGGUGCUUCUCAACUAGAUGCGUAUCGACGAACUGAAGGAUGUUCGCUAGACUCUGUAGACAGGCUCCGAAUGGGGACCUGAAGAGACGACACUCUUGGAGCAGCGAGGUCGACUACCAGCCAGCGGAAACGGAAGCUGUAGCGACCCCGGAAGAAGAUCCCGCUGCCCCGUCCCCAGAAGAGGAGGACAGAACCUCUUACAAGGAACAUGGCUGUUCGGUGCAGACGGUGGACCUGGUGGCGGACUGUCCUUUGCAGGUGGUGACACCGGCGUCGAGGUCACCGUCACCACCCAGAUCGGCGACGCCUGCGACGCCCUCCACGCCCCUCGCACCGCCGAAGAGCAUGGGGCAACGGUCAAGCACCCUCUUGCGCCCCAAGAUCUCUUUGACCUGGGUCCUCCGUGGACAACAGCAACCUGCGUCCACCAAUAAUCAGACGACUAUCAAUGGGAAUACAGGUGGGAACGACGAUCGGGAGAGCUUGUCACGAGACGGUAAGGAGAGGUCCUCCAGGAGGAGCGUUAAGAGCGUGAAGGAAAAGGAUGCUGGCAAGGAGAACUUGGAUACUGAGAAACGAGAAAAGAAGAUUCUCCAUAGGAUCGAGAAGAUUGAGAGGACAGAAAAGUCUAUCGGCAAGGAGGUGCUGGUGAACGAGAGGUCUCUCGACAGCCCUUUGGACAAGCAAUCCGAGAAGGGAUUUCCCGGAUUGAAAGACACAAAAGAAAAGGAGAAAGUUAAGAGGGCAGUGUCCGAACCGUCUCUCGUGUCUCGGGAGUCAACGUCCACGCCGAGUGGUCGUGAGAAGCACAGACAUCGGAGGACCAAACGUUCUCACAAGCCUAGACCUCCUAGCAGGUUCGGUUACGAAAUUGCGGACCUCGAUGCGUUUCUCACGAAGGCCUCGAUAGAGAAACCCGCCAACAUUCCCGUGGUUCUGUCCUUCCCAUCUGUCCUGUACCAAACCCAAGGAGGUACUCAAGACGAGAUGGCUCUACCACUUGGAACAGUGGUGAAUGCUGUAUUCAAGAACCAGACCUGGUUGUACGUUCAAACUCCCCAUGGACAAGAAGGAUACGUUGGGUAUGCUGCGUGCCUACCACUUGGAAUCUUACCGCAACCAACGCGGGGUCCAUGCUGGGAGGAUUCAACGGAUGUAUUUCCUCGUCCUCUAGGUAACAUGACCGACACUGAGAAAUUAAGGGACACCCGAUCAGAGUGCGGGGCUCGGGGUAGAAAUCCAAGAGUAAGACGAAGUUCCAGAGACGCGGUUUCAGCCUGUGGAGAACGCAGCGUUGAUAGAUUGUAUCUUAGAGCCGCGGCAAACGCUAGAACCAAAGGAUCCCGUCAUACUUUGCUCGUGAUACGCAGCGACUAUGAAGGCCAAGGUGGAAACGCUCUGAGCGUUUCUAAAGGUGACGUCGUUGCUCUGCUUAGCGAUCACGUAAGCGACUGGUUCUGGGUUCGUUCGCGGGACGGCAGAGAGGGCUUCAUACCUGCUGUGAUCGCAGGUCACGGCUUUCUUUAACUAUAGUCCUCUAGGAUUUAUGAAUACAUUGUUCAAUGUAUCUAAGAGACUGUCGCAUUACAAGGAGCCACGAUUAACGAACGGAUACUUGUAUAUUUAUCGCAUGGAAAACAUGUUUGUUUUGUUAUUACGCAAACUUUAACAUUAAUUCACGAUAGUUAAAGUUUGUGCAAACGUCAAGAUUAUUCGAACAGCCGGCUAUACUCAUUACUUUCUGUGGAGUUUCUUGGUAAAUAAUACUGUAAACGGUGUUACUAGAAGUUGGCACUUUGGCCAAUGUUUCUCCUUGAUACGUUAAGUGAUAAACGUGAGGCGCUGCUCCCGCAGCAAUUACACGUUCCUCGUAAAUGUUUGCUACGUGAAUCCCUUCGUCUGAAAGAUGAAACACAGUUGCUGCUUCCAUCGUGCGUAUAUGCCACAAGGAUAAAGACGGACCACCACCACAUAACUAGAAAAUCAUGAUGUACUGAUUAAUAAUAAAUUACGUAUGUUUCAAGAAGAAAGGCUUAAACACGCACCAACCAGUCAUCUGUAAAAUCUAUAGCACCAAUCCACUUGCCUAACCUUGGCCUGGCUACCUUUUCUACCAAAUAAGGAAGCUAACUGAUUACCCCUGAAAAAUAGUCAAAAUUUAUUGCACGAAAUUUGAAGAUUGUAUAUCACUUAUCGCAAUAAUACGCACAUUAAUGACAGACAAUGGAUAUAGUCUGUAUGUCCUUGUAAACUUCUGACUAUUCUACCAUCUUCUAAGCUGUCUCUGAGGAUAAACUGAUAUUAAUAUUGUUAAAAACUACACUGUGUUCCAGUAUUAUUUACAUUUUUAUGAAGGCUUGAAUAUUACUUAUUAACUGGCAUCUGUACAGUCCAUGAAACUUUACUUUUUGGUGCUUUGCUAGAGGUAACUAUUUUCCAAUCCCAUCCGCAUACUUCCCCAGAUGUUCCUGUCACCAAAAAAUUAUCUGUCGAAACCAUACUCUCUACCUGUUGGUCAGGAUGAGCAGUGAAGCGAUAAUUGGGUCCUUGUAACUCAUUUUCUUCUGCUUUACGAGGACCUAGAGCUUUUGAUAACCUAGAGAAAAAUAAUAAUAGUUAUUAUCGAUCUUUAUUGCAAUUAAUAUCAACAUAACCUAAUAGUUAUUUGAAAUAGAGAUGUAAAUAAAUACUUACUCGAAAACUGAAACAUCUCCGUAAAUAUUUCCAGCCAGUAAAUAAUUUCCAUCUGGGGAAAAUGUUUGUGACAGAACAGUAUUAUAAAAUAACUUAUGAUUAAUCGUACUGGACAUCAUUUGUCAAGUUUUACUGAUUUAUAUAGGUAGAUUUAGGAAGGAAAAGAGGUUAGACUACGGAUUCCGUCGAAGGUAAACAAAACUUUUUAACAUGACAUUGAAUGGAAGGUUAUACAGAAUCUUCCUUAUCUGAUGGUACAAUCGUAAAGGAGAUGAAUCUACUUGAAAAAGUAAGUAAAAAAGGUACUAAUAGAAAGUCCUAUAUUAAAAGGAAGGUAGGUCAAAAAACAUUUUUUCGAACGAGGCUUCUUUUCUGGUAUAAAUAAAUAUUGAAAAUUCAUUUUAAAAAAUUCGACAAAACAUGUGGCGCCAUUUAGCGUGAGUGAUAAAAAUAGACUUUUUUAUUUCGCCAAUUUUAUUUUUUAUUUCGACUGUACAGUAUUAAUUAAAAUUUCCUGCGUAAAUGUUUAUACACAAGUGGUGGGCAACCACAGAUCUAUAUUCCCUACUUUGUCAUUUUCCUUGCGAAUAGCUAAAAGUAAAGAUGGGAACCCGUGGAAGGGGUAAGCGUGGUCGGGAACCUGGUAAACCUACGGGGUGCCUAAGGACAGCGCAUUUUCAUUCGGGAAAAGAAAAAGAAUUGAAUUCGUAAUUAGAUAGGUAUUUCACGUGACAAUUUUAUUCAUGUUAUUGUAUUACAUAUGCUUUGAAUAGAAAAACAAAGCCAUAAUAGAAUUAUACAUGUAUUACUGUUAUGGAAUGACCUUUUUUAAAACAACUUCAUGAUUUUCGCAACCCGAUUAUACAGAACCUUAAAAGUAAUAGUGAUUUUGCAGAGUUAUUACUUUUAAAUAUCCCUAUAAUAGUACGAAGUAAAUCUAAUAAAAGUCUUCUUCUGUUAACUUCGUUGGAGCUUGAUUCUUUAUCUGCUCUUGACUUUUAUACAUUGUUGCAACCUGUUGGGCUGAAGUGGCAUCCUCGCUACUUUUAUCAUCGCGAAUACGAAUAAAUCGUGGAAAUCGUAAGGAUAUACCCUUUUCUGGAUCAACGAUACCCACUGCUGCUUUAUGAACAGGUGAUAGAGACAAAUCUGCGCAUUUGAUCUCCCAAGCUUGAACGGGUUCAAACCAAUGAUCAGGUUCAAGUGAUGGAUCGUAACGGUAGUACGGCUUACUUUUUGGUAUUAUAUGCUCCUUCAAGAAUUCACUGUGUUUUUGAAGAUCCUCUUCAGUGAAACCAGUACCAAUCUAAAUGAAAAUAUAUUACAUUGUAGAAUCAUGUAUAUUAUAUUCAUUCGAAGAUUGGAAUUGUUAAUAUUUACCUUACAAA